rnacentral:rRNA from 1 species
GACGAACGCUGGCGGCGUGCUUAACACAUGCAAGUCGAACGGAAAGGCCCUGCUUUUGCGGGGUGCUCGAGUGGCGAACGGGUGAGUAACACGUGAGUAACAUGCACUUGACUUUGGGAUAACUUCUGGAAACUCGGGCUAAUACCGGAUAGGAGCUUCUGCUGCAUGGUGGGCGAUGGAGAGUUUCGGCGGUUGGGGAUGUGCUCGCGGCUUAUCAGCUUGUUGGUGGGGUUGUGGCUUACCAAGGCUUUGAAGGGUAGCCGGCCUGAGCGGGUGACCGGCCACACUGGGACUGAGGGGCGGCCGAGGCAGCUACUCGAGGCAGCAGGGGGGAAGAUUGCAGGAGGGGCGGAAGGCGGGUGCAGCAGCGCCGCGGGCGGGAAGACUGUCUUCUUGGUGUAGACCGUAUGUGCAUGUAACGGAGCGUAUGUGGCGGUAAUGUGUAAAGAAGCACCGGCUAACUACGUG